UACGGAGGGAGCUAGCGUUAUUCGGAAUACUGGGCGUAAAGCGCACGUAGGCGGCUUUGCAAGUUAGAGGUGAAAGCCUGGAGCUCAACUCCAGAACUGCCUUUAAAACUGCAUCGCUUGAAUCCAGGAGAGGUGAGUGGAAUUCCGAGUGUAGAGGUGAAAUUCGUAGAUAUUCGGAAGAACACCAGUGGCGAAGGCGGCUCACUGGACUGGUAUUGACGCUGAGGUGCGAAAGCGUGGGGAGCAAACAGGG
rnacentral:rRNA from 1 species